rnacentral:lncRNA from 1 species
AUCAAAGUAAUCCUUGUGUUUUAACAUGGAGCACUAAUAGUCCUCCAUGUUUCAACAAUUGGUACAUUUUUGAUACUCUUGCAAACAAUCGUCAAAAAUCUAACGGUGCUUUCUUUUACACGUGAGAAAAGUUUCCACCAUUGCCAACUAAUUUUUCCCUUUCCUUUCCUUCAGAUAUCCAUAAUUCCAUAACUUUGAUUCCCCUGUGAAACAAAUAAAAUCAAAAUAAAGACUGAUAUUUGGAGAAGUAAAACUUAUUCAGUUGCAUAUGUUGUUUUUGAAGAAUGUAUCUCCCUUCAAUGGAAG